AUAAGGACCGGCUAAUUCCGUGCCAGCAGCCGCGGUAAUACGGAAGGUCCAAGCGUUAAUCGGAAUUACUGGGCGUAAAGCGCGCGUAGGUGGUCUAUUAAGUUGGGUGUGAAAGCCCCGGGCUCAACCUGGGAACUGCAUCCAAAACUGAUUCACUAGAGUACGAAAGAGGAAAGUAGAAUUCACAGUGUAGCGGUGGAAUGCGUAGAUAUUGUGAAGAAUACCGAUGGCGAAGGCAGCUUUCUGGUUCUGUACUGACACUGAGGUGCGAAAGCGUGGGUAGCGAACAGGAUUAGAUACCCUGGUAGUCCACGCCGUAAACGAUGACAACGGGGGUGUUGGGGAAGCUAUGCUUUUCAGUGGCGCAGCUAACGUCUUAAGUUGUCCGCCUGGGGAGUACGGCCGUAAGGUUAAAACUCAAAUGAAUUGACGGGGA
rnacentral:rRNA from 1 species